AUCAGGGUGGCUCAGUGGUCUAAGACGCUAGACUUCAAGUGUAUUACCUUAAUCAGAACGUAGAGUCUUCUGGUCCAUGAAUGUGGGCGUGGGUUCGAAUCCCACUUCUGACA
rnacentral:tRNA from 1 species